rnacentral:rRNA from 1 species
GACGAGCCACCCGAACGUUAUUCGGAAUUACUGGGCUUAAAGGGUGCGUAGGCGGUGUAGCAAGUCGGGAGUGAAAUACCCCAGCUUAACUGAGGAAUUGCUUUCGAUACUGCUGCGCUUGAGUGAGACAGAGGUAAGCGGAACUUAGGGUGGAGCGGUGAAAUGCGUAGAUAUCUGGAGGAACACCGGUGGCGAAGGCGGCAUCCUGGACCAAUAUUGACGCUGAGGAGCGAAAGCCAGGGGAGCAAACGGG